rnacentral:piRNA from 1 species
UGAGACUAACCUGUGCUAAACUGAAAAUG